UACGUAGGGGGCAAGCGUUGUCCGGAUUUAUUGGGCGUAAAGAGCGUGUAGGCGGCCUGGUAGGUCUGCUGUGAAAACUCGAGGCUCAACCUCGAGAUGUCGGCGGAAACCAUCUGGCUAGAGUCCGGAAGAGGAGAGUGGAAUUCCCGGUGUAGCGGUGAAAUGCGCAGAUAUCAGGAGGAACACCGGUGGCGAAGGCGGGUCUCUGGGCCCGAUACUGACGCUGAGGAGCGAAAGCGUGGGGGGAGCGAACAGG
rnacentral:rRNA from 1 species